GAGGAUCUCCGGAGGAAUUACAAGGAGGAUGGUCACAGCUUUCAGAUUGUGAAUGAAGAGACCUUUGCCAAAGAAGUACUACCAAAAUACUUCAAACAUAACAAAAUAGCAAGCUUUGUUCGACAGCUCAACAUGUAUGGUUUCCGAAAAGUUAUUGCACUGCAGAGUGAAAAGACUAGCCUGGAGAAUAAAAUAACUAUUGAAUUUCAGCAUCCACUUUUCAAAAAGGGAGAAGCCUUCCUUCUUGCAAACAUUAAGCGAAAGGUGCCAACGAUAAAAACUGAAGAUGCCAACCUCUGCUCUGAUGAGUAUCAGAAAAUUAUGGCUGAAAUACAAGAGUUCAAAGACAUGCAGAAGAACAUGGAUACCAGAUAUGCACAAAUGAAACAAGACUAUUCCAAUCUAUGUCUUGAAGUUACAAACCUAAGAAAGAAGUACUGUGAGCAACAACAACUGUUGACACAGGUACUCCAUUUUAUCUUGAAUUUGAUGAGUGAAAACCAUACAGUACUAAAAAAGAGGAAAAGGUCAUUAUCAUUCAUAUCUGAAGCCUCAGAUUCUGAAUUGGAUCAUCAGUAUCUCCAUAUUCCAGACGACAAGAAAAAGGAAGCUAUGGAGAUAUUAAAAGAUGGUUAUGAACUUAUUGAAGACAAAUAUAAAAGUCUCCUUGAUAGAGUCUUACCAAUUUUAAAAGAACCCAAAAGUUUAAUUUCAUCUGCAGACCAGCCAAGUGGGGAUGAUGGAGAACACGCUGAAGUGUCCGUUCAGGAUAAACCUACAGAUGAAGAGUCGCUGACCAUUCAGUUGGAUUUGACCAUACCAGUUUUACCAGAACAAAUAACUCAAGAAUCCGUUGAACAAGAACCUAAGGAUAUUUCUUUGGAAUUAGAUCUUUCUUCCCAGGAUUCACCUUUGAUGAAAGAUGACUCAGACAAUCUGUAUAACAAUAUAAUUAACAGGGAUAAAAUGAAUGUGAAUCAUACUGAAGGAAAUUUGUUAGAGCUAAAUUCGAUACUAUCUUGGAAGGGAGUGGAUUAUGAUUCUGAUCAUUUCAGUGAGACAAACAUAUGGUACAAUGCAUGGAAAAACCAGAGCUUUUCCUUUUGGAUGGGACACCAAUAUGUGACUUUGGAGAAAAUCUUCAAGAUUAUGACAUACUUUUGGAUGAUCUGAAGGACCCCCCAAAUGUCAUAUCAGCUUUGUGCGACCAUGAUUAUGUAACCUCCAAUAUUUCCACUCUGCAAGAAGAUAAUAUUGAAAAUGAUGCUCCCCCAUUUUGUAUGGAAGCCAAUGGGGAAUCCAGUGUGUUCCCUUUUCUCUUUCUUAACCCUGUUAGUAAUAUUUUUUGAAAAGCAUAUCGAAACCAAUCUUCUGUUACAAUUUAUUUUAAGUCUCAGUGAAUCGCAUUUCCUCUGGGGAAACAGAUAUUCCAUGGCUGCUUGCUAGUGUAUGCAUCUUCAUUUGGAAAUAUCUGUAACUUAAAGACUGUGUUCAAAUUACAUCCUCCCAGUAUCUAGGCAAGUUUUGGCAACUAGGAUGAAAUUCAGACCACAAAAAAACAUAAGUAAUAUAUCCAAAUUUUAAUAUAAUAAGAAGUUAAUUUUUUAUUUUUAAACUAAUAAUAUUCUAAUACCUUAUUUGUUACUAGAACAGAUAUUAACGUUAUUGCAUUUUUCUAAGUAGUUAGAAAUUUUCUGUAGCUAGAAUUUGUUUAUAGUAAAGAAACAAUUGUUAUAGGAUUUAAAUGCAAGGUUUAGAGUUAAUGAAAAAGGUGUUAAUUCUAGAUUUUAUGGAUAUAUUUAUUCUAUAGCUUUCCAUUUUAUAUCAGUAUUACAUGAUUUUUAAUGCCUAAAGAAAGUUAAAAUCUCAGCAGAAUAUUGGUACUUUUUGUAUAAUUGCCACCUUAUAUACAAUCAAAGUCAGCAUAUUGACUGCCAUAUAAAACCUUCGAUGAGAACUCCCAAGAAUCAAGCUCUAGCAAACUUUUUCUUUUAAAGCAUGCAGAAAACCAAGAGCAAAUGAUUUAUUUGAAAUUAAGGUUUAAAAUUCACAGUCAACCAUUUCUCAACUAUAACCUCUAGUCGUAUCAGUAUUCUUUGACAGAUACAUAAUUGUCGACAGAAUAUUAUCUUUUAAAAAUACUGUGGUUUUACCUAAACCUUGAGUGGUUUUCAUACAAACUAUUCCAACACUAACAUUCAUACAUGGCUAAACCUUGAGUACCAUAGCACUUAGAAUCUAAGGUUCUCUGUCUAGUUGAAGAAGCACUUUAGAGUAUGUUUAAGGUUUUAGGUUGGUAAGCUGAAUACUAAAGUAUCAGGCUUCGAAAGGGCACAGUCUGUAACACUUUAUUACUGCUUUAUCCUACCUGUUAAAUGGUCUACAAAUUCAGUUGGUUUUUGCCCCUUUUAUCUUUCAAAGUUUAACCUGUUCUUCAGUAGUCUCACUAAUGAAGUCAGCUUUAACAGGAAGCAGAAAUUGGUCAUUUUUUAGUGUCUAUAUUUUUAAAUGUAUAUUUGUUUAAAUAAAAUGGUUUGUGUAAUUUUGAGAACUCUUAAGGAAAGUCCAGAUCUCAUUUAGUGAUGGCUGAGCUUUUGAUGUGCAGGAGUGAACUAGAGUAUUUCAAAAAUUAAAAAACAUCUUGUCACUAUAAUGUUAUAUAAGUUAAUAAAGAGUUGAGC
rnacentral:lncRNA from 14 species